rnacentral:rRNA from 1 species
AUGGGCUUGCUUGGAGAUGCACGGUGUUGUGAUCCGAGGAGUUUGCCGUAUGUGAAGACUGAUGUGACAAAUGCAAGAGCAAAGCUGCGAAGGGGCCUGUCAGAGCGUGACUUGGAGCUAACAAUCGAGUACUUUGAGAGAAGACAAGUGAAGAAUCCCAACUUCUUUUUCUCGAAGCUACAAGAAGAUGGAGCUGUUAGGGCGCUUUUCUGGGUUGAUGGGAGAACAAGGGCCCUGUAUCCAAAGUACAAAGAUUGUGUGUUUUUCGACACCACAUUCUGCACAAAUCGCUACAACUUGCCCUUUGCUCCGAUUGUUGGCAUUAACAACCACACACACACUGUUUGCUUGGGGUGUGCUUUGUUGCCUGAUGAGACCAUUGAAACUUUCAAGUGGGUCUUCCAGCAAUGGAUGUUGGCAAUGAAUAAUGAGCAUCCAUUGAACAUUAUGACUGAUCAAGACCAGGCAAUGGCUACAGCCAUCUCAAUGGUAUUUCCAGAUUCAACGCACAGAUGUUGCAAGUGGCACGUCUUCCGGGUUGCAAGGACAAAACUAGGGAGGAUGCUGGGCAAGGAUGAGCCAUUUGCAGAAGCAUUUUAUGGUUGCAUUAAUGGUUCAGAUACCGUUGAGGAGUUUGAAGAACGGUGGAAGCAGAUGGUCGAGUUGUUUGGUGUGGCUGAUAAGAAACACCUCAAAAACAUGUGGAACAGCAGGGAAACGUGGGCUCCUGUGUACUUUAGGAAUAAGUUCUUCCCAUUCACAGGAACAACUGGACGCUCCGAGGGCCUGAAUUCCUACUUCAAGACUUUAAAUCAUCAUGGAGACUCGGUUUGGACAUUUGUGAAACAGUUUGAGCUUUGCCAGGAGCUAAUGCUUGAUCAUGAAGACAAUGCGGGCUUCAUCAAUGAAGCGACGAGGCCGCCACUCUGGGGCAAGUAA